rnacentral:snoRNA from 14 species
UGGCCAAUGAUGACCAGACCACUGCGCAAUCUGAGUCCUGGGCACCAGGUGAUGGAGUGUGUUCUGAGAACAGACUGAGGCCG